AAAACUUGGUUUUUGAGCAUUUCGCCACCCCAGGAGGGCCGUGGGCCCCCCGUCCAAUUCAUCAAGUGCCUAAUGAGCGGCCCCGGAGGUCCCGGGCCAUCCAUUCCAGAAGCUCUCUCUGCCUUGUAAAGGCUCUCUUGCCUUCUCCAGCUAGUCAGGAUGCUGCCAGCUCCGGGCAUGGGGCUGUGUCUGCCCCAACGUGGUGGAGAGCUGGAAUCUGAGCACUCGAGCUUGGGGACAGCUGCCCACCUUGAGCCCACAAGAGGAAGCAGCACGGGGAGGAGGUUAUGCUUGUGGGGGGUGCAGAACAAGGGAAAACAGAGAAGCCGGCUUGAACCAUCUCUCUUGCGAUGUGCCCUCUGCAUUAUCACCCACUGGCCCCGAUGCCAGCUGACAGACCUCAUCCAAACACUUGGCUGGGAUUUGGGGACUUCUUUUAACGCCUGCUAGUGAGUUUGCUGGCUUCCUGGGUGCUCAUUUCUGGUUCUGCACAAAAGAGCCACAUUUCCUUUUGGAACCGGGACCAGGAGACAGACAGCAGCAGACAUUGGAAGUUGUUGUGAAGAUUUGAGACUGUGAACGCAAAGGCGGGGCCUAUAGAUCGUGCUGGAUAAAGGUCUCUGGGCCAGUCCCCGGAGCCCCGAAAUAAAUGGGCAGAGGGGGCUGCCUGGCAUCGCGUCUUGGCCACCUACCAGCCGGACACCCCAGGUGA